ACGGGGAUUGCCUUAGUACGGCGAGUGAAGCGGCAAAAGCUCAAAUUUGAAAUCUGGUACCUUCGGUGCCCGAGUUGUAAUUUGGAGAGGGCAACUUUGGGGCCGUUCCUUGUCUAUGUUCCUUGGAACAGGACGUCAUAGAGGGUGAGAAUCCCGUGUGGCGAGGAGUGCGGUUCUUUGUAAAGUGCCUUCGAAGAGUCGAGUUGUUUGGGAAUGCAGCUCUAAGUGGGUGGUAAAUUCCAUCUAAAGCUAAAUAUUGGCGAGAGACCGAUAGCGAACAAGUACAGUGAUGGAAAGAUGAAAAGAACUUUGAAAAGAGAGUGAAAAAGUACGUGAAAUUGUUGAAAGGGAAGGGCAUUUGAUCAGACAUGGUGUUUUGUGCCCUCUGCUCCUUGUGGGUAGGGGAAUCUCGCAUUUCACUGGGCCAGCAUCAGUUUUGGUGGCAGGAUAAAUCCAUAGGAAUGUAGCUUGCCUCGGUAAGUAUUAUAGCCUGUGGGAAUACUGCCAGCUGGGACUGAGGACUGCGACGUAAGUCAAGGAUGCUGGCAUAAUGGUUAUAUGCCGCCCGUCUUGAACCACGGACCAAA
rnacentral:rRNA from 1 species